AUGCAAAAAGAUGGGUGGCUCCCUCUUCUGGCCAAUCACCAGUCUCCCCUGGGGCGUCACCCUCCAAACGGCUACAUUCAAACUUAAGAUAAACAGUUCUUCUUUGUCCCUCAAGACUAGUCAUAAUCGUCAUACACGACACUAUCUCCUUGAUUGUGAAGAAGGCCAGGCUGCUGUGUCUGUGGAAGAUGUUUUGAUGUUUGCUACUGGGCUGUCUUCACUUCCCCCAUCUGGCUUGGAACCACUGCCUCAAAUAGAGUUCCUGGAGGACUCUGCGUUCCCAAUGGCAAAUACAUGUUCAAACUCCUUGAGAUUACCACUCCUAGACUCAUACACUUUGUUUAAGUCACAAAUGGACUUUGGAAUUCAAAAUAGUCCAGGAUUCGGCUGUUUCUAAGCUAUAUGAUGGAUGACCCCUAGAGUUAAGACUCUGAAAAAGUUGUUGUUGUUAAAGGUUAGGGUUGGGCAUCAUUUAGAUUUUAACGAUUCUGAUUCCAAUUCCGAUUCUUCCUUUUGAUUCCGGUUCUUAUCGAUUCUCGAUUCCGAUUCUUUGAGUGGUGGAGUUGAAACGGGUCACAUGCUUAUUUCACAAAUAAGAGGAAAGUUUUAUUUUGAUUCAAAGGUGGGUUGCAGUUUGACGGGGCUUUUUCAAUGUAAAAUAAAGCCACACUAGAGCACCGCUUACUGUGCUCCAUGGCUGCAACACAACAAGCACCUGGCCGCUACAGAAACCAAAACUUGCGCAUGUUAAAUUUGGAACCCAUGAUCAGAUUUGAAACCCAAUCCUCCAAAACGAUUCCAAUAAAGAAACAAUUCCGAUGGAAUCGUAAUUUUUUAAACUAUUCCAAGUAGGAAUUGGUUCUUGAUGCCCAACCCUAUUAAAGGUGCACUUUUAAAGUGCAGUUGCCAAAGUUGUUUUAAUAAUGUUACUGUAUGUGAGCAUGUUCUUUUCUCACAGUAAACAUUUUGAAAAUGUUUUAGAUCCAUUACUCUCAAUACUACAAAAGUGUAAUAAAUACUGAUUACUA